ACAAAGCCAUCACCGGGUGGCAAAAAGCUGUUAACAAUUCCGUUAGGUCAUUGAAGGAAUUGUUAGGAGCUUUUUUAUUUU
rnacentral:ncRNA from 1 species